UGGGGAAUAUUGCACAAUGGGCGCAAGCCUGAUGCAGCCAUGCCGCGUGUAUGAAGAAGGCCUUCGGGUUGUAAAGUACUUUCAGCGGGGAGGAAGGGAGUAAAGUUAAUACCUUUGCUCAUUGACGUUACCCGCAGAAGAAGCACCGGCUAACUCCGUGCCAGCAGCCGCGGUAAUACGGAGGGUGCAAGCGUUAAUCGGAAUUACUGGGCGUAAAGCGCACGCAGGCGGUUUGUUAAGUCAGAUGUGAAAUCCCCGGGCUCAACCUGGGAACUGCAUCUGAUACUGGCAAGCUUGAGUCUCGUAGAGGGGGGUAGAAUUCCAGGUGUAGCGGUGAAAUGAGUAGAGAUCUGGAGGAAUACCGGUGGCGAAGGCGGCCCCCUGGACGAAGACUGACGCUCAGGUGCGAAAGCGUGGGGAGCAAACA
rnacentral:rRNA from 1 species